rnacentral:rRNA from 1 species
UACGGAGGGGGCUAGCGUUGUUCGGAAUUACUGGGCGUAAAGCGCACGUAGGCGGCUUUGCAAGUUAGAGGUGAAAGCCCGGGGCUCAACCCCGGAAUUGCCUUUAAAACUGCAUCGCUAGAAUUGUGGAGAGGUAAGUGGAAUUCCGAGUGUAGAGGUGAAAUUCGUAGAUAUUCGGAAGAACACCAAUGGCGAAGGCGACUUACUGGACACAUAUUGACGCUGAGGUGCGAAAGCGUGGGGAGCAAACAGG